AUGGACCUCAAACCUGGUGCAAUAAUGCAUGAACUUGCCAAAAGGGUCGUUUCAGUUUUCAAGUGUCAUCAGUGGUACAUGGAUGGAUGGUGUCGUCAUUGCUCCGCUGCCCCAUGUUUUGGUUGUUUUGGUCCACGGCCGAGGCAAGAAAACCAAAAUCUGCACCAUGCCGAUAUGCUUCAUGACAAAACCACUUGCUUUCAUAUGUAUUGGACUACUGCAUCAUCGUCUUCGUCAAUGGAGGACGAAAUCAGUAGUAUCACCAGUCGGCCAGCGAGGAAGGCUGCUUGGAUCUGCCGCCGUGCCCACCUGCAACUUCCUAGGGCUAUUCGGCCACUUAGAGAACUUCUGGUGUCCAUAAGCAAUCUUAGUUGCUCACUAUGA
rnacentral:rRNA from 1 species